CCGAAACCUUAAAAGGCUGUGGUCUCACCAUCCAGCCUGGCACUGACCGCUCAAGACGCCAGAGCAAACCUGUUAGAGGCCGCAACACAUCAAACCAGGCAGAUCGGAAGAGCUCACGU